UGGCGGCAUGCCUUACACAUGCAAGUCGAACGGCAGCACGGGAGCAAUCUGGUGGCGAGUGGCGAACGGGUGAGUAAUACAUCGGAACGUGCCCAAUCGUGGGGGAUAACGCAGCGAAAGCUGUGCUAAUACCGCAUGAGAUCUACGGAUGAAAGCAGGGGACCGCAAGGCCUUGCGCGAAUGGAGCGGCCUAUGGCAGAUUAGGUAGUUGGUGAGGUAAAGGCUCACCAAGCCUGCGAUCUGUAGCUGGUCUGAGAGGACGACCAGCCACACUGGGACUGAGACACGGCCCAGACUCCUACGGGAGGCAGCAGUGGGGAAUUUUGGACAAUGGGCGCAAGCCUGAUCCAGCCAUGCCGCGUGCAGGAUGAAGGCCUUCGGGUUGUAAACUGCUUUUGUACGGAACGAAAAGGCUUUCUCUAAUAAAGGGGGCUCAUGACGGUACCGUAAGAAUAAGCGCCGGCUAACUACGUGCCAGCAGCCGCGGUAAUACGUAGGGUGCAAGCGUUAAUCGGAAUUACUGGGCGUAAAGCGUGCGCAGGCGGUGAUGUAAGACAGUUGUGAAAUCCCCGGGCUCAACCUGGGAACUGCAUCUGUGACUGCAUCGCUGGAGUGCGGCAGAGGGGGAUGGAAUUCCGCGUGUAGCAGUGAAAUGCGUAUAUAUGCGGAGGAACACCGAUGGCGAAGGCAAUCCCCUGGGCCUGCACUGACGCUCAUGCACGAAAGCGUGGGGAGCAAACAGGAUUGGAUACCCUGGUAGUCCACGCCCUAAACGAUGUCAACUGGUUGUUGGGUCUUCACUGACUCAGUAACGAAGCUAACGCGUGAAGUUGACCGCCUGGGGAGUACGGCCGCAAGGUUGAA
rnacentral:rRNA from 1 species